UACAGAGGGGGCAAGCGUUGUUCGGAAUUACUGGGCGUAAAGGGCGCGUAGGCGGCCUUCUAAGUCGAACGUGAAAUCCCCGGGCUCAACCCGGGAACUGCGUCCGAUACUGGAAGGCUUGAAUCCGGGAGAGGGAUGCGGAAUUCCAGGUGUAGCGGUGAAAUGCGUAGAUAUCAGGAGGAACACCGGUGGUGUAAACGGCUUUCUGGACCGUAACUGACGCUGAGACACGAAAGCGUGGGUAGCAAACAGG
rnacentral:rRNA from 1 species